UACGUAGGGGGCAAGCGUUGUCCGGAUUUAUUGGGCGUAAAGAGCGUGUAGGCGGCCAGGCAGGUCAGCUGUGAAAACUCGAGGCUCAACCUCGAGACGUCGGUUGAAACCGUCUGGCUAGAGUCCGGAAGAGGAGAGUGGAAUUCCUGGUGUAGCGGUGAAAUGCGCAGAUAUCAGGAAGAACACCCGUGGCGAAGGCGGCUCUCUGGUACGUGACUGACGCUGAGACGCGAAAGCGUGGGGAGCGAACAGG
rnacentral:rRNA from 1 species